rnacentral:lncRNA from 1 species
CCUUGUUUGGGACCGAUUUGGGGUUAUUCCGGACUCUUUUGGGGUUAUUUAGCCCUGUUCAGGACUCUUUUGGGGUUAUUCGGGACUCUUUUGGGGUUAUUCAGUGCCAGUCCCGUUUGUUUUCCAGCUGCACCGAGCCGUGACCCCAGCCUGGGGCACCGGCCACGCGGCAGCCCCAAAAAAAGGGCAAAAAAAGGCAAUUUCCACAGCUCUGCCUGCCCCGAUUUUGGGGUGAUCCCCCCGAGAAGGGGCCGUGGCCGUGGCCGUCCGCCCGCUGCCGCCUCCUUUGGGUUUUUUCCCCCGUUCCCAUGGCCCCAAAGCCGCCUCCUCGGCCCCAUAAAUCACAGCGGGGCGGCCGCGGGGGCCAGCGCCGUGGCGCCAGCUCGGGGCCCCCCCCCGCCACCUUUCUCCAUCCGAUUUUUUUUUUUGGGUUUCCCAAGGAUUCUUGGGGCUUUUAAGCAAAACUCCUCGGUCCUAAAAAGGAACCCGGCUCCCGUUCUGCCUCGUGGACGUUUUGGGGUUAAAAACUGCCUUUUGGGGAGGGGGCUGCGGCCAGGCACCACGUCCCUCGGCCCCCAGAGCGGGGAAAUCGAAACGAAUAAAAUCCCUUUUCUGCCCCGGAAUGGGAAAGAUGGAGAAGCCAGCGCCUCUCUUUUUGCCUCAAACCACCCUUUUUUGCCUCAAAGCGGCCCUUUUUGCCUCAAACCACCUCUUUUUGAACCAAAGCGGCUCUUUUCUUUUGUUCCUCCAGGAGAGGACUCCGACACGCGGCUUUCCCGGGAACUGCCGCCCCUGCGAGGGACAGAGCACCCAAAACCGUCCCGUUUACGCCCAAAACCGUCCCGUUUACACCCCAAAUCAUCUCAUUUACACCCAAAACCGUCCCGUUUACACCCAAAACCGCCGCCGCCAGCUCGCCCCGUGGCGGGGGGGCGGCGCCGGGGUCGCUUUUCGGCACGGGGCAGGAAAUUCCUCGGCCACCCCAUUCCUGGCUCGGAAUUUCCUGGCUCCGAGGGUUUUUUUGUUAUUUUUGGGGCUGUUUUCUUUUUUUUUUUAAAAAAAAAAGAAGCUGAAAAAAAAAAAAAAACAAGGUUAAAAAAAUCCCUCUUGGCCCCGUGCCCGGCGUGGGAUGCCGGCACGCGGCUUUGCCAUAAAACCCCGUUUUUUGCCCCAAGCAGGCACCUGGCCCGCGGCGGGGUUUGA